CUCAUAUAUAUAUUUUCUUUUUCUCAUGAUAAAAAGUAUAUAUAUGAGAAAAAGAAAAAAUUUAAACCAAAAUAGCAGUUGGUACUGACAUCACUGUGAUUGGGCCUUGGAAGCUGUCAAAAGGGUACGUAUCUGAUACAUCCAUUUCCUAGUGAACAUCCGUGGAAGAGUCAGCCACGGGACACUUGAGGGCAGAGGGAAGGCUUGUGUGAUAGCCUCCUCUAUCUUCUCCCUGCCCCUUCCUGGGAUCCCCUAGAUUCCCUGUCUGUGACUGAUCCCACAUCUGCCUGUCCUGAUCUCCCUCUCCCAGCCCACAGGGACCCCUUCCUUGCUGAGAAAAUUCUCUCCCUUGCUCUGUUGGUGAGGAAAAGAGUUCUCCUAGAAAAGGGCCACACCCUGACACAGGGGCAGCCCCUCCCUUCGGACCAGCUGCAGCCCCUUGGUCUCUCCUAUCUGCUGAGCCAGAUGUUUGGGGCCCUCCACCUGACAGCUGAUGGCAGAGUCUGUCACAGGGCCAGGCCUACAGGUGUGUCCCAUGCCAUGCGUAUGUCUAGGGGAAAGUGGCUUUGAUCCAGCGUGGCUUCCCCCUAGUUGCGUGGCCUUAACUGAGUUUCCAGAGGUCUCUGAAGGUUCAAGUUCAGGAGGUUGUGAGGUAGAAGGUCAGAGUCUAGGAGGCCCUUGGCACAGAGGAGCUUGGUGGAAGGCAGGAGUGUUAUUUCAGGAGAAAACCUCAGUUGGUACCAGGAUCUCCUGUUCGCCCUGAGACCAGGCUGCCUUCAUGACACUCCCAGCACAGGGAGGAGCCUUGAGCUGCGCCCAUCUCAAUCGGACUGCUGGGUCCAGAGUUCUCACAGAGGAAACUUCAGAACCUUCUUCCUUCAUGUGCCUCAGUCUCUCUUCCUGAAAAAGAGACCAAGCCAACUGGGCUUAGUGACUCAGCUGUCCCUCGAAGAGCGGAAAGAAAAGGAGGCCUCCAGGUCCAAACUCCCCUCCUUUCAAGCUCUUGGUUUGUUUUUGAACAGCCCUUAGGGCAGCCAAUCAGAACUAAGAAUCCAGGCUUCUGUAUUCCCCGGUUGACUGCAGCUGCUGGUUCCGGACCAGUGAAGCUGGGGAGCCCUGGAGAAGUAAACACCAAGCGAAGCACCACAGCGCACGCGCCCCUGAGGACGGCCUAAAACCCGGGUGACUCCACCGUGCCUUUGUCAUCGCAGAUGGGAAGGCUCAGAGAACAGCUGUCGAGAAGGACUACCAGGACCUGGCUUGGACAGAUACCUCCUCCUUCCUCCUCCUCUGCCCAGGAGAGCCUGGCCUGUGCAUGGGGAGGGAGCCAGGGACCCCCAUGGAUGCCCAGUCGCCCAAGGCUCUUCUCUGCUGGAGAUCAUGGACCCCCAACAACUAUGGCAGCACCCAGAGAUGCUCUCCAAUCUGUUCCCACCCAGAGGAAAUGAAAGUGCCAGGAGUUAGUGAAUUCGCUAACCCCAGACAAGAAAAGAGAGUCAGGACAGGACUCAUUAUCUGGUUAAUCCCAGAAGUAAGAAACCUAUUGCUGGAUGUAAUGGCGCACACCUUUAAUCCCAGCACUUGGGAGACAGAGGCAGGUGGAUAUCUGUGAGUUCCAGGCCAGCCUGGUCAUUGUAGUUUUAGGACAGCUAGGGCCACAUACAAGAGACCUUGUUUAAAAAUAAAUAAGUAAAUAAAUAAAACCAAUGAUUUUUUUAAUUCAUAAGGUUAAUAAACUGGAUGAGAAAUCAAGUUUAAGAAUGUCAAAUUGAGAGGCUCUCUCAAUAUUGUAUUCCAGGGAUAUUGAUGUAAUAAAUGCUUUCCCCUCCCCCAACCUUGAAAACCCUUCUGUAAUUACAUCACCUGACCUCCAGGGGGCUCAGGCUGUUUACUGCCCCUCUUUUCCCAUCUCCCAUAAAGAAGGUCCAGUCUACCCCAGGCAAACAAAGGUCUGCUCUCCAAUCAACACAGCUCAGCACCUCAGAGAGGAACGAUGACUGGUCCACCCAAGUGGCUCAAGCUAGCACCUGCAGGUGUAUGACUGCCACCCUCUCUGGCUGAUCCCUGCCGAUACCUAUUGACUUCCAUGUAUCCGGAGGACCUGGCCAGAACUGGAGCUUGUCACUUCCUGUCAAUGUCCAUAGGUCAGUGUUUACCUCCCCAGUCUAGUGGUUUGAUUCUUCUUCAUUGUUCCCUCCUUCCUUUAUUAAGUGCCUGUGAUUGGCACAGGCCACCACACAAGGGAGUGCUCAAUUAGUGCGUGUAGAAUGUACUGCAAAGUAAAGGUGACACAGAACAAUGGCUCCGUUGGUAAUGUGUUUGUCUUGCAAACACGAAGACAUGCGUUCAAGCCCCAUGUUUUUCUUUUUUAAAAAAAAGCUGGGAAUGGUGGUGUCUGUCUGUAAUCCUAUUGCCAUGUGAGACAGAGACAGGCAGGUGGAUUCCUGGGGCUUGCUGACCAGAUAACUUUUUAGCAAGUUCAAGGUCAAUGAACCCCCCCACCCCCAGGUGAUGGUGUGUAAAGAACCAAACUCAGGGUUGUCCUCUAGAAGACAGGAAAAUAGACACUGGCAGUUCUCGGUGACGGAGAUGGGGGCAAUCUGAGCAACAAAACUGAGGAUGAAAUUACAAUAAAAUAGUAGAUCAAUCUCAACUGAAUGAUCGCAGCUGACAUUAUUUUCUAUGCCAGCAUCAAGCAAGACCACAUCCCAUAAAGAGAAUCAGUCUUGUGGCAGGCAGCACAAAGGAAGUCGGUUUUAUAGAUGAGGGACUGAAGAAAGUUGAAGCAAAAGGGCAGGAAAGCACUUUGGCUAGUUGAAUGUGACUUUCUUUGUCCAGUGGGGACACAAAAACAGAACCGUAGGAAAGUGAUGGAUAACCCGGGACUGAAUGAGAACGGCCCGGCCCACAGAGGCUCAUGUGUUUGAGAACUUGAUCCCCAGGUGGCGGCACCGUUUGGGGAGAAUUGGGGGUGAGGUCUUGUUGGAGGGUAUCACCGCGGUAGGCCAUGAGGCUUCAGAAGACUGGUGUCAUUCUCGGUAUCUCUUUCUCUAAAUUGUGGUUGUAUUUCAUAUGUGAGUGCUCAGCCAUUCCUGCGCCAUGCCUUUCUUCUGCCAUCGUGGACUCUGACAUCUGAAACUGUGAGCCCAGUUAAAUGCUUUCCUUUGUAAGUUGUCUCUGUCAUGGCAUUUGUCACGGCACUAGAAAAGUUACCAAUAUAAGAUGUCUGAAAGCAAUCAGCUGGGUGGUGGUGACGCAUGCUUUUAAUCCCAGCACUCAGGAAGCAGAGGCAGGCAGAUCUCUGAGUGUGAGGCC